rnacentral:rRNA from 1 species
GACGAACGCUGGCGGCGUGCUUAACACAUGCAAGUCGAGCGAUGAAACCCUUCGGGGUGGAUUAGCGGCGGACGGGUGAGUAACACGUGGGUAACCUGCCUCAAAGAGGGGGAUAGCCUCCCGAAAGGGAGAUUAAUACCGCAUAACAUUAGUUUUUCGCAUGGAGAACUAAUUAAAGGAGUAAUCCGCUUUGAGAUGGACCCGCGGCGCAUUAGCUAGUUGGUGAGGUAACGGCUCACCAAGGCGACGAUGCGUAGCCGACCUGAGAGGGUGAUCGGCCACAUUGGAACUGAGACACGGUCCAGACUCCUACGGGAGGCAGCAGUGGGGAAUAUUGCACAAUGGGCGAAAGCCUGAUGCAGCAACGCCGCGUGAGUGAUGAAGGCCUUCGGGUUGUAAAGCUCUGUCUUUUGGGACGAUAAUGACGGUACCAAAGGAGGAAGCCACGGCUAACUACGUGCCAGCCGCCGCGGUAA